UGGACAGGCUGAAGAAUGAUGAAGCCCGCAUCACCCAGCUGAUCAGGGGCUUUUCCAGCACCUGGAAGCAGUCUGUGGAAGCUCUCAGCCAGGACGUCAUGAGGUCCUUCACCAACUUUAAGAACGGCACCAGCAUCAUACAGGGGGCGCUGACUCAGCUUAUCCAGUACUACCAUGGUUUCCACAAGGUCCUCUCGCAGCCCACUUUCCGCAGCCUGGCCGUUCGCUCAGAGCUCAUCAAUCUUCACCACCUCAUGGUCGAGGUCAAGAAGCACAAGCCCAACUUCUGAAUAGCAUUUUACUGGGGUGAAGCGGGUUAAAUAAGAGAUUAAUGGAAAAGUGAAUAUGUUUAUCUUAGUACCCGUGGGAGAACCAACAAUCUACAGCUGUAAUCCGCAAAUGGACUUUACCCUUGUGGAUCUCCAUUUCUCACCUAUGCAUCGUUGUUAUGUUCUGUGUAGUAUGAGAUCAGGAGGAAAACUGGAAUUUUU